UACAGAGGGUGCGAGCGUUGUUCGGAAUUAUUGGGCGUAAAGGGCGCGUAGGCGGGCGGUCAAGUCAGAGGUGAAAUCCCACGGCUCAACCGUGGAACUGCUGGGUAUACUGGUUGUCUUGAGCCAGCUAGGGGCGAGCGGAACAGACGGUGGAGCGGUGAAAUGCGUAGAUAUCGUCUGGAACGCCGAAGGUGAAAACAGCUCGCUGGGGCUGCGCUGACGCUGAGACACGAAAGCCAGGGGAGCGAACGGG
rnacentral:rRNA from 1 species